UACGUAGGUGGCGAGCGUUGUCCGGAUUUAUUGGGCGUAAAGCGCGCGCAGGCGGUUGUCUAAGUCUGCUGUGAAAUCUCCCGGCUCAACUGGGAGGGGGCGGCGGAGACUGGGCGACUGGAGGGACCUAGAGGCCGGUGGAAUUCCCGGUGUAGUGGUGAAAUUCGUAGAUAUUCGGAAGAACACCAGUGGCGAAGGCGACUUACUGGACACAUAUUGACGCUGAGGUGCGAAAGCGUGGGGAGCAAACAGG
rnacentral:rRNA from 1 species